rnacentral:rRNA from 1 species
AUACGUAGGAUGCGAGCGUUGUCCGGAAUUACUGGGCGUAAAGAGCUCGUAGGUGGUUUGUCGCGUCGUCUGUGAAAUUCCGGGGCUUAACUCCGGGCGUGCAGGCGAUACGGGCAUAACUUGAGUACUGUAGGGGAGACUGGAAUUCCUGGUGUAGCGGUGAAAUGCGCAGAUAUCAGGAGGAACCCCGGUGGCGAAGGCGGGUCUCUGGGCAGUAACUGACGCUGAGGAGCGAAAGCAUGGGUAGCGAACAGGAUUAGAUACCCUGGUAGUCCAUGCCGUAAACGGUGGGCGCUAGGUGUAGGGGUCUUCCACGACUUCUGUGCCGUAGCUAACGCAUUAAGCGCCCCGCCUGGGGAGUACGGCCGCAAGGCUAAAACUUAAAGGAAUUGACGGGG